GGUAAGAGCAGCCUGCAAAAUGUAACUUCGGAAAAAGGAUUGGCUCUCGGGGCUUGAUGUAUAGCGCUAGUGUGUAUAUCGUAGGUCAGGGCUGUGUGGAAACGUUCGUGCUUCGCGGCUCGUCUAUGAACCGCCGGUACACUGACCAUGUCGACCGUUGCUCUGCGCACAAAGCGUUGCGAUGACCACAUACGGUGUUGAGGCAAUGUUAUUUGUGCCCAUUACUCUGAAUGUUAGUGUGAUAAAAUUCAAUCAGGUGCGGAUUAACGACAGACGUAGGGUGAAAUGUUUGAAAGCUGCGUUUUGGGGUAAGGACGUACUGCCUCGAAAGGAAAGUUGCAAAUGUUGUGAGGGAGCCUCGCCCCCUACGACAAGCCCUAACUAACCGCCAACUGUUUUCAACCGUCUUCAACUUCUUAAUAUGUUACCGAGUUUGGUGCAUCAGCUGCCGCACCAUUAGAUCAUCAUGCCCUCCGUCUGGUGCUUGCACGAGAGCGGCCUCCGCCUUGUACCAUUGUCGGCUAAGUGAAAACCCCAGUUUUGAUAGCUGUCUCGGAUGCAGUCAGUACUAUUGUCACGCUGGAUAGCCCAUGCUGUGCGAUCUGCGAUCCCAAGCUCCUGUGUAAGCACCAUUCUAUUCUCUUGUGCAAUACAACCUGGGGAUCCACAGGCUGAUGCCUGCGCUGUCAACCGAUAUUCACGCUUUUCAUACUGUAUCUUUUUGCUAUGGUAAUUCUAUACCUUGCGAGUGCUUGAUGAGCCAAGUGUGUUUUUCUUGCAGUCCUCGAAGGCAAUAGCUGCAUCUGCUAGUAUCAUCAUCUUGCGUCUUUGGUCUCUCAAGAUGCAGUCUGGUCUCAGUAAAGUCUCCAUUUCUUCUGGGCAGCUAUCAAUCUUGAGCGUCUUCCCCACUUGUUUGCCACCGAGUUCUUGAUAGCUGCAAUGAUCCUCUCCACCUUGUUGUGUCUUGCCUUUAUCUUGUUAUCUAGGCUGUGCAGGGAGUGGCUGAGGAGAUGAUUGAGGGUUUCAGCGUCAGCCGCACAGUAGCGGCACCGGGAUAGGUUUGAGAUUUGGAUCUCCUUAGGGUAGCAAAAAGCCCCUUCACCUAAGUAGUGAAGUGCGAGAAUGGAUUGACAGCGCUUCCUAUC
rnacentral:ncRNA from 1 species